AGUGAACGCUGGCGGUGGGCCUAACACAUGCAAGUCGAACGGCAGCACAGAGGAGCUUGCUCCUUGGGUGGCGAGUGUCGGACGGGUGAGGAAUACCUAGGAAUCUACUCUGUCGUGUGGGAUAACGUAGGGAAACUUACGCUAAUACCUCAUACGACCUACGGGAGAACGCAGGGGACCUUCGGGCCUUGCGCGAUUGAAUGACCCGAUGUCGGAUUAGCUAGUUGGCGGGGUAAAGUCCCACCAAGGGGACGAUCCGUAGCUGGUCUGAGAGGAUGAUGAGCCACACUGGGACUGAGACACGGUCCAGACUCCUACGGGAGGCAGCAGUGGGGAAUAUUGGACAAUGGGCGCAAGCCUGAUCCAGCCAUACCGCGUGGGUGAAGAAGGCCUUCGGGUUGUAAAGCCCUUUUGUUGGGAAAGAAAUCCAGCUGGCUAAUACCCGGUUGGGAUGACGGUACCCAAAGAAUAAGCACCGGCUAACUUCGUGCCAGCCGCCGCAGUAA
rnacentral:rRNA from 1 species